UCAGGCCACAACUAGCAAUUUCACAAUUCUCUAUUUAACAUCAGGCAAGCUGUAACUUUCAUCUUCGGGGAAAAACCCAAGAGGAACCAUGUGCUGCUGAUGCAUAGAUGAGGAUGAGCACAGAGUGAGGGUGGGUCAGGAGCAUGUGGAUGGAUGAAGGGAUGAGUGUGAAUGAAAGGUAUAUAUAUGUGUGAAUGGAAGGUAUAUGGAGCUUUGGCCCCACCCUCUGUUGGCAUGUCAACUCUGGAAGGUAACGUAUGGCAGGAAUGCAGUCCUCAGGCUGAAGAAGUCUCCCCACCCCUCAUUUAGAGGAUUUUGUAUCAGGGAUUAACUUAGUCAAAGGGUACUGAUUAUUUCUGGGAACAGAACCAUCUGAAGCAUCCGCCCGCUGUAAAUAAAGCAACAUUGCUCCCCCAUCUAUUCGUUGGGAUGUGAAGCGCAUGGUCUCAUAGAGAGAGGCAGUGUCAUCAACUGAAGUGCUGCCAAGUGCUCCCUUGACUUCCAGCAUUCCUGGAAGUGAAUAAGUUUUUCCUUCUCUUUACUGCCAUCGUGAGCCGCAAAGACAUUUGUUCUUUCCUUUGUUCUGGGUUAAGGGGGGGAACUAGCAGGAGACAAUGCAACAGCACGUUGCUAUGAACCACUGGGCGGAGAUACAACCAGUACAUGUGCGUUUGACUACUGUUCCAAGGAAGGGAUAUUUGGCAAAGCCCCGUUUGUAUCUUUGAAGGAUAUGCUAGUGAAUGAUUUGUUCUGAGAUCACCACCUACACAGCCAGGAUUUCUGUCUGUACACACAGGCGUGACUGGUUGGCCGUACAGCCCUGGAGCCUUGCCUCUUCUUCCUUCCUUCCCUGGGCAGUCUCCCUUCCUCUCAACCCAAAUGCCUCCAGGCUGCAUGUCAUUGACAAGCAGCAGUUACCUCAUGAAUCAGACACUCCCAUGCUCAGACCUUGGGCUCUUCCAAAGGAAAUUCCUCAGUGUGGAGCACAGGGGGGAUGUCUGACUCAGGGUGAUCCUGUGGGGUUUGGAAUGGACUAUGGGAAAGUAUCCCAGAGCACCUGCCAUGUUAAGCCAAUCCUAUUUUCACCCAAGUUAUGACAAACACCUAACAAAAAUGGCUUUUUUUUACUGAGAAAAAAGCCACAAAGGAAACCCCACCUCACAACCAAUAGACAAUGGUGACUGAGAGUAAAAUUCUCCUUUGGCCCAGAAAACCAGCCGCCAUUUGAAGCUUCAGUGAAGAGACUCUAAACUGAGAGAGGGUGAGUUGGGGAAGCUUGAUGAAGGGAAAGACCAUGACAAGCCCUUUUGAAAAGGCCAGCAUUCUACCCACAAGGCCACACAAGUGCAAGGCAAGGCCUUGUGAGAUCACACAAAAGACCAGGAGGGCCCCUUGCAAUUGGAGCUAGCAGCACCGUCCCACAAAUUGGUCCCCGGUGCACAAAAGAACACAGAACCAUGAGUUAAAAGUAUGAUGUGGAGGUGACCAUAGAGUCAGAAGGGGGCCUUGUAGGCCACCAAGUUCAUCUCCCUGCUUGAUACAGAACUGGAUCCUCUCCAACAGAUGACUGUCCAGCCUCUGCUUGAAGACCAGCUUGCAUUAGGGAAGCAGGAUUUCAAGUUUUGCAGAAUUUUGAUCCAGUUACAUACAUGAAGAUGGGAAAAGACUGGAGUAAACAUGGAUAUAAAAAUGAGAAUUUUCUUUAAGGUGAUUGCAGAUAUCUUGAGGUGGUUGGAGACUGCAGGCUAUUAGUUGACAAGGACCAUUAAAGACCCGGAUUUCCCAGGAUCAAGGAUGUCAGACUACCUAUUUCCUCCUAAGAUGCUUCCUGCAUUCUUGAGUGCUUUGGCCAGAGUAGAAACUUGGAAAGUGGCCUACCGGACAUGCCCUAAAUAUCUGAGAUUCCCCACCACCACCCCUCCAUUAAAAAGGUGAAAAUAGAACAAAUGGAUUCACCAUAUAAUCUUAAUCAGUAUUUUAAAAUAUGUAAUACUGUCCAAUAUGUAAAACUAGUUGUACAAAUGUGCACACAUGUAAGCCAGCAAUUAAAAUCUGGCUAAAAUUUCUGAAAGUUGUAUUAUCUUUUUCUGUCACAGUAGGAAUCAGUAUGUGGGGUUCACCUGACUCCUUCUCAUGCAAUGAGACUUGUACCCUUUUCUUCACCCCAUGUACACACUGAUAUUGGCUCUGGGCAGGUCAGGAGAACCCCCAAAACAAAGUGUUAAAGCUUAGAGAAGAUUUCCCUGUAAGCUGAAAUGCUUGAGCUGUCAGAACGAUCAACUUAAUGCAAUGCUGAGUUCCUCCCAGUGACUAUUGAAAGUUGCCCAAAAAAGAUAUUUGCUGCACAAUGAACUGUUUUCGCCAUAAUUAUUGUUCAGCAUCUGGGACUGGCUCUGAUGUGCAGGUGCUAAUUUGAGGGAUAGUCCCGGUUCUCUCUCAGUCAUCUUCUUGCGACUAACCAGAAAAGGGGUGUUCUUUUUCACACAAAGCAUCUACAGCGUUUGAGGAAUGGCAAGGCUGUGAGAAGGUCCUAAGCAGCCAGGAAAGCUGAUAACCACUGGUUACGCUAAUCAUCCAAAUGUCACCUUGGUCACAUUUCAAAGUGGAGACUGGGCCAAAAAUACAAGAGGCAGAAAAGCAUUUUGAGGCUCUUCCCGCAGUCAGUUCCAAAAUAGAGGAGGAGGUGUGUUUGUGGGUGUGUGGAAGAGGAAGGUGUCUUUGUUGCUUUGGGUAUCAUGGUAAUCAGAGUUUGUGGGAGUCAGGUUUGUGGUAGUCUUGGCUGUGCCAAAAAAAUAAUUUAAUCUUAGGAAAAUAUUUUUUUAUACCAAUAGGGACAUCUGAGGCUCGUUUCUUUCCACAUUCCACUUUGAUUGUUUUGGAUAUCUAUACAGAGGUCUUUGCCGUUGAGGGUGCCCACUCUGAUACACAGAAGGUCAGUCAGUCAGGGUAUAAAUAGCCAAGCCUACCUCACAGGGAUGCUGUGAGGAUGAAAUCGGGGUGGAGAACCAUUUAUGCUAUCUUGAGCUUCUUGGUGGUGAGACAUAAAUGGCAUAAGUAAUUAAGAAGGUCUCUAGUUCUAUCAAAGCAUCAGAUUUUUGUCUUACAAAGACCUUUUGAAUCCACACACCAUCAGAAUCUGAAUUUUCAAAACUGGGAGCUCAUCCCAUUUGACCCUCCCCACGCCAGUUCAGCUGUAGUCCAAUUUGUUGGUGGGAAAUGUGGACAGAGUAGAAUCCAAUGGCAAUAUACAACCCCUGUAUAAUACCUGAAUUGCCAUUUAAUCUCCAUAAUGUGUUUGUGAUGCAGAUUGUAGGGCCAUAACUAUUAUCUGCUAUGUAGCCACUGACCUCUGAGGAUAUCUGUGAAGAUGAAGAUUUGAUACAUACAUGUGUAUACUUGCAAAUAUACAUGCACUUACACAAUGGAGUGGCAAUGCCAAUUGCCAAAAACAGGUAGCUUGAAAGUAAACAGCAAAUGCAAUUCCAAAACGAUGAGUUGACAUGUUAUUCCCUGAACAUACGUGAACUCCAGCGGAAUGCAAGCUCAGUCAUAACUGAAUCCAGUAUAAACAGCUUUGUAUAAUCCCACUGGGGAAAGCUUUGGCUUGAUAGGAGACAUAAGCAACUGCUUACCUGGUGUGUUUUAGUCAUCCCUCCCACCAAAGGCUCCAUAAGGAAUUGUCACUGUGGCUGAAGUUUUGGAAUAAGGCAUCAAGCUUAGGCAGUAAUGUGAUACUCUGUCAACAGAGGAGAAGGCCAUCGUUUGAAUUCCCGGUGAAGAUUUGUACUCAUGAUCUAAGCUCCAUCCUGGAUAUUUGAAAAUUGAACUUUACACUUUCAGGAAAGGAACAGCCAACCUAAGCCAAAGAGCCAUCAUAUGAAUUGAACCCAAAUGUUAACAGGGCAACCUCAGGUUUCUGCAAUUUCCUCUGUGACAAGGUAAGAAGACAACAUGUUGCAGUUGGGUUGAUUCCGACAUCAUGACACUAAGGUUGGUUAUGCACAAACCUGUUGGUUGCACGGAAAAUGUAGUUUUUCCUCAGUCAGGAAUCAUUCAUGCUGAACAUGCUGUUUUCCAUCUAGAUUGAUUCUAGACAGGGGUGGAGGAAGGGGGUGUGGUGGGGGCGGGCCACCCUGGGUGUCACUACUGAGGGGGGUGAUAAAAUGGUGGGCGGCAUUCACCAUGGGGCCUGCUGUGUGGCCGAGCCACGCGUUUCUCCUGGGAGUGAAGCGGUGGCUUGGCGCCCACAGGCUCCGCACUGCCCCAAACGGGGCAGUGUCUCCCCCUCAGCUGCCUCCCCCUCAGCUGUAGGACAGACUCUUCAGAGGCCCCGCAGAGCGUCCUGCCCUGGCUUGCCCCGUCCCGUGGGUGGUUGGCCCCGCCCCUGGGCACAGGAUACGCACACCUCCCCAGGUGCCCAAUCAGCUUGCUCCACCACUGAUUCUAGAUCCUGCGAUCCAUAAGGGUGUUAGGGCUGAGUGAUGUCCGGUUUUCAACAUCAUGAUAUAUCACCAGCUAAACAUCACAAUAUACCAAUAUAUGACAAUGUCUGAAAUCAGGAUGGAACUGUGUGGAAGCGAAUGGGGCAAUGUCCUGACAACUGCUACUACCCAGGAGUCUAAAACAGAGAUAUUUUUACUUACAUUUAACAUAUUGUUCCAACUGUUAUUUUAUAGUAUAGAGCAACAGAGAUGGCAGGAAUCAUAAGAGAAUCAUGAUUUUCCCCCCACGUCAUGAUUUUUUACAUAGCACACACAAACACAUUGUGAUUUGCAAUAUAUCGCCAUGCCAAAUAUUAUGAAACUGUUACCAUGAUGUGGACUUCAAACCAAUUUUGGAUGAUAUAUCACCCAGCCCUAAAUGUUAGUUUUUCUCAAUUUGGGAUCACUCAUGCUUGGUACAGAAGGACCACCCUCCCUGUUUUUUCAGGAUGUAUAAGAAGCUUCUGCGAAAGAGUCUAGGUGUCAGACAGGAAGUAAGGACUAUGGUCACAUCUUCACCUCCCCCCCAAAAAAAACCCAGACUCCUGGUGAUGUUGAUGAUGAUAAUUUUAUUAUUUAUACCCUACCCAACUGGCUGUAGUUUGUUAAGGUGGCUGGGAAUUGUAGUUCUGUUCCCAGUUCUGUUCCCAGGAUUCUUUGAGAGAAACCAUGUGCUUUAAAUAUAUUGUGUGGCUGUGUUGCGGACCUUCCAGUAGGAAAAAUGGGUACAGGGUCUGCAAAAACAGAUUCCCCCACCCACUGACUCUAGGCCCGAUAGGUACACACAGAGUGUCCUCAUUACAUAAAAAGGAAAAGCUGCUUAUUUUGAGGGAAGGGAACAAUAUUCUGUGUAUACGUAAGUUUAAGAAUUAAUGGGAUAAUUGCAUUUUUUAAAAAAAAACCUCUCCCACUAUGAAAAGCUGGGCCACCAUGUCUCCUGUGAGUAUCAAAGAUGUCUGGAAAGCUACUCUAGGGAUGCACAGUUCCUGUCUGCAUUUGUAGGAAGCCUCUCUCUCGGCCACAGAUGAAGUCGAUGAAGUCCUUCAUUCAAUACAGAUAUAUUUUUAGAAUUGUGAGCAAAGAAGAGGGUCGUGCUGUUGACAGAUGCAACCUUGCCUCAGCUCCGAAGC